rnacentral:rRNA from 1 species
UACGUAGGCAGCGAGCGUUGUUCGGAGUUACUGGGCGUAAAGAGUGCGUAGGCGGUUUUCUAAGAUUGGUGUGAAAUCUCCCGGCUUAACUGGGAGGGUGCGCCGAAAACUGGAAGGCUUGAGUAUGGGAGAGGUAAGCGGAAUUCCUGGUGUAGCGGUGAAAUGCGUAGAUAUCAGGAGGAACACCUGCGGUGUAGACGGCUUACUGGACCAUAACUGACGCUGAGGCACGAAAGCGUGGGUAGCAAACAGG